UUACGCGGCAAUCACACCCACUGUCAGGGCAAUUUACAGCAAAUGAAUCUAUCUUCGUCAUUGUCUGCGUGAACUUGAACUGCUUCUUAAUAGCAUAUAUUGCUAAUGCAAUAUGACAAUCCUCUUUACUGCCAAACACCUUACCAAGUGUUAUUUUCCCAUCACCCUCAUCCACAUUCAUAUCUGGGAUUUCAGCUGCAUCAUAUUAUGUGUCAUCAAAAAGAAGCGGAAUAUCAAAUUCCUCGUCAUCAUAGCAUCUUCAAGCCUACGAGUUGGCCCCCUGAUUUUGUUUACUUCUCCGGGAAGACCACCAUCUCCCAUCCAAGGAUUA
rnacentral:lncRNA from 1 species